rnacentral:rRNA from 1 species
GACGUAGGGCGCGAGCGUUGUCCGGAUUUAUUGGGCGUAAAGAGCUCGUAGGCGGCUUGUCGCGUCGACUGUGAAAACUCGGGGCUCAACUCCGAGCUUGCAGUCGAUACGGGCAGGCUAGAGUUCGGUAGGGAGACUGGAAUUCCUGGUGUAGCGGUGAAAUGCGCAGAUAUCAGGAGGAACACCGGUGGCGAAGGCGGUCUCUGGGCCGAUACUGACGCUGAGGAGCGAAAGCGUGGGAGCGAACAGG